AGCCCCGUGGUCCAAUGGUAACGACACCAGCAUUCUCUGCAUUUGCGAAAUCAGGAAGCUGGAGAAUGCGAGUUCGAUUCCCGCCGGAGCAG